UACGAAGGGGGCUAGCGUUGCUCGGAAUUACUGGGCGUAAAGGGCGCGUAGGCGGCACUGUUAGUCAGGCGUGAAAGUCCUGGGCUCAACCUGGGAACUGCGCUUGAUACGGCAGAGCUAGAGGAUGGAAGAGGGUCGCGGAAUUCCCAGUGUAGAGGUGAAAAUUCGUAGAUAUUGGGGAAGAAACACCGGUGGCGAAGGCGGCGACCUGGUCCAUUACUGACGCUGAGGCGCGACAGCGUGGGGGAGCAAACAGG
rnacentral:rRNA from 1 species